rnacentral:ribozyme from 1 species
AGUCGUUGCGGCGACUAUAAACAGGCCUUAAGCCGCAAGCGUCCGCCGGGAUCCCGGCGGGGUGG